GACCGCUCCGGUGGCAUAGUGGUUAGAGCGUCCGCCUCGGAUGUGGAAGUAUCGGGUUUGAACCCGGCCAAGUCA